GGGGAAUUUUCCGCAAUGGGCGAAAGCCUGACGGAGCAAGACCGCGUGGGGGAAUAAGGCUCUUGGGUUGUCAACCCCUUUUCUCAGGGAAGAAGUUCUGACGGUACCUGAGGAAUAAGCAUCGGCUAACUCCGUGCCAGCAGCCGCGGUAAGACGGAGGAUGCAAGCGUUAUCCGGAAUUAUUGGGCGUAAAGCGUCCGUAGGUGGCUUUUCAAGUCGGCGGUCAAAGACCGGGGCUUAACUCCGGAAAGGCCGUGGAAACUGAAAGGCUAGAGAAAGGUAGGGGUAGGGGGAAUUCCCGGUGUAGCGGUGAAAUGCGUAGAGAUCGGGAAGAACACCGGUGGCGAAAGCGCCCUACUGGACCUUAUCUGACACUGAGGGACGAAAGCUAGGGGAGCGAAAGGGAUUAGAUACCCCAGUAGUC
rnacentral:rRNA from 1 species